rnacentral:rRNA from 1 species
AUUGAACGCUGGCGGCAUGCCUUACACAUGCAAGUCGAACGGUAACAGGUCUUCGGAUGCUGACGAGUGGCGAACGGGUGAGUAAUACAUCGGAACGUGCCUAGUAGUGGGGGAUAACUACUCGAAAGAGUGGCUAAUACCGCAUGAGAUCUACGGAUGAAAGCAGGGGAUCGCAAGACCUUGUGCUACUAGAGCGGCCGAUGGCAGAUUAGGUAGUUGGUGGGAUAAAAGCUGACCAAGCCGACGAUCUGUAGCUGGUCUGAGAGGACGAUCAGCCACACUGGGACUGAGACGCGGCCCAGACUCCUACGGGAGGCAGCAGUGGGGAGUUUUGGACAGUGGGCGGAAGCCUGAUCCAGCAAUGCCGCGUGCAGGAUGAAGGCCUUCGGGUUGUAAACUGCUUUUGUACGGAACGAAAAGCCCCGGGUUAAUACCCUGGGGUCAUGACGGUGCCGUAAGAAUAAGCACCGGCUAACUACGUGCCAGCCGCCGCCGUAA